AUUUUAUUAGUAUAUAAGUAUAUUUAACUUCCAAUUAAAAGGAUUAAUUAUUUAAAUAAAAUA
rnacentral:tRNA from 1 species